rnacentral:rRNA from 1 species
GAUGAACGCUGGCGGCGUGCUUAACACAUGCAAGUCGAACGGAAAGGCCGAAGCUUGCUUCGGUACUCGAGUGGCGAACGGGUGAGUAACACGUGGGUGAUCUGCCCUGUACUUCGGGAUAAGCUUGGGAAACUGGGUCUAAUACCGGAUAUGACGAUCUCUUGGAUGGGGUUGUGGAAAGCUUUUGCGGUAUGGGAUGAGCUCGCGGCCUAUCAGCUUGUUGGUGGGGUAAUGGCCUACCAGGGCGUCGACGGGUAGCCGGCCUGAGAGGGUGUACGGCCACAUUGGGACUGAGAUACGGCCCAGACUCCUACGGGAGGCAGCAGUGGGGAAUAUUGCACAAUGGGCGCAAGCCUGAUGCAGCGACGCCGCGUGGGGGAUGACGGCCUUCGGGUUGUAAACUCCUUUCGCAAUCGACGAAGCCUUUUGGUGACGGUAGGUUGAGAAGAAGCACCGGCUAACUACGUG